rnacentral:rRNA from 1 species
GACGAACGCUGGCGGCGUGCUUAACACAUGCAAGUCGAACGGAAAGGCCCUGCUUUUGUGGGGUGCUCGAGUGGCGAACGGGUGAGUAACACGUGAGUAACCUGCCCUUGACUUUGGGAUAACUUCAGGAAACUGGGGCUAAUACCGGAUAGGAGCUCCUGCUGCAUGGUGGGGGUUGGAAAGUUUCGGUGGUUGGGGAUGGACUCGCGGCGUAUCAGCUUGUUGGUGGGGUAGUGGCUUACCAAGGCCUUGAGGGGUAGCCGGCCUGAGAGGGUGACCGGCCACAUUGGGACGGAGAUACGACCCAGACUCGUACGGGAGGCAGCGGUGGAGAAUAUUGCACAAUGGGCGGAGGCCUGGUGCAGCAACGCCGCGUGCGGGAUGACGGCCUUCGGGUUGUAAACCGCUUUCGCCUGUGACGAAGCGUGAGUGACGGUAAUGGGUAAAGAAGCACCGGCUAACUACGUG